CCUACGGGAGGCAGCAGUGAGGAAUAUUGGUCAAUGGGCGCAAGCCUGAACCAGCCAAGUCGCGUGAGGGAAGACGGCCCUACGGGUUGUAAACCUCUUUUGCCGGGGAGCAAGCCUGAGCACGUGUGCCCAGGCGGAGAGUACCUGAAGAAAAAGCAUCGGCUAACUCCGUGCCAGCAGCCGCGGUAAUACGGAGGAUGCGAGCGUUAUCCGGAUUUAUUGGGUUUAAAGGGUGCGCAGGCGGAAGUGGCAAGUCAGCGGUAAAAUUGCGGGGCUCAACCUCGCCGAGCCGUUGAAACUGCUCUUCUAGAGUGGGCGAGAAGUAUGCGGAAUGCGUGGUGUAGCGGUGAAAUGCAUAGAUAUCACGCAGAACUCCGAUUGCGAAGGCAGCAUACCGGCGCCCAACUGACGCUCAUGCACGAAAGCGUGGGUAUCGAACAGGAUUAGAUACCCGUGUAGUC
rnacentral:rRNA from 1 species